UCCGUAGGUGAACCUGCGGAAGGAUCAUUAACAAGUCUCUGGGUGCGGGGAUUACUCUCCGACACUUGUGCUGCGCGCCCCGUGUGCGUAGAAUAACACAUUUACGUAUGACUGAUUUUGCAAAGAACACGAACAACUUUUAACAAUGGAUCUCUAGGCUCUUGCAUCGAUGAAGAACGCAGUAAAGUGCGAAAAGUAAUGCGAUUUGCAUGCUCUGUGAGUCAUCGAGUCUUUGAACGCAUAUGGCACCUCCAGGCCCUGCCCGGAGGUAUGUCUGUUUGAGAAUCAUAUAUACUUGAUUUCUAUUUGAUCUUUGAUCAACGAAUCGACUUGGGCUCACAUCACUGUCUGCCCGAAAGCAGCCGCGCUGUCGUGGGGUUACAAAUGCUGCGACAACGAACGCCACGUGAUCUCAAAUCAGACAGGACUACCCGCCGAACUUAA
rnacentral:rRNA from 1 species